rnacentral:tRNA from 1 species
UACCGGCGGUUGUUCGGGAUCGGGGUCCGGCUGCGGCUCGGGCGUCGGACCGGGGCCGGGUUCCGGCUCGGGUUCCGGUUCCGGGUCGGGAUC